CGAGCACAAAGAGGAUCUGGAAAUAGUAGUCAACAAAACAGAGAUGAAUGAGAAACAAAUUCAAAAAAACACUGAGGAGCUAAACAGCUUCAUCAGAAGAUUUCAGGAAGAUUAUAGCCACUGGACUAAGAAGUUCCUUGCCUUUUUUAGAGGCUAUCCAGAUGGUAUGAAGGAGCCUACUGCCAUCGCUCUGGAUAGAGAACUGAAACAUCUCGACUCUGAGAAGAGCCGUCUGAAAAAUGAAGAGUGGAACAUCAAAACCGAGCAGCUUGAUCUUCAGCUGAAGCUGGCCAACUGUAAAAUACGGAUGGGUGAGAUUCCCGACCCUGACAACCUGAAGGAAGUCCAGCUGUGUCUUUCUCAAAUCCAGCAAAUUCUGGUUGAUCUGAAAAAGUUUUGGGAGAAGGUGGAUGCUAUUCUGAGCACGCUGAAAGAUAAAACCUUUGUUGGGGAGGAAAUGGUGGACAUGGAGGACAUGAAGGAUGAGUUUAUAAGCUCCAUUGAAGAUGCAGCAAAGUACUGGAAGAAAUUUGGUGUGUGCUGUCAGAGAGCUCAAGGCGUCUUCAGUGUUCAGUCUAGACAUGCAUAUAAAUUCCUGGAGAUCAAUCCGUCUUCGCUCUCUGAGGAGGAGAGGAACCAGCAGUACUUGUCUAUCACGGAGAAGCUGAAGAAAAUCAAUCUAGACCCGCCAGCACUGAGUGACACCAAGAUCUGAUGCUUCCUGAAUGCUCCUUACACAAAUCAAUGCAUACAGCUUCUCUUGGCAUUUUCGUAAUGCUUUGUAAUAUCUAGUAAACUGCCUUUGAACAUGUAAAACUACAGUUCCACAUAUACGUGUUCUUUAAUAAGUUGAUGUUAGGAAUAUCAUUUAGAUCAAUUUAUGGCCGUCUCUUUCAAUAUCGCUUUGCAUUUUUAUCAUGCUAUAUACAGAUCUUGCAGUCUGGUCAUAUGAUUAAUGUCUAUGUAACACAAUAAAGACAAAUGACAUG
ensembl:lncRNA